GACGGAGAAUGCAAGUGUUAUCCGGAAUCACUGGGCGUAAAGCGUCUGUAGGUGGUUAAAUAAGUCAACUGUUAAAUCUUGAGGCUUAACCUCAAAAUCGCAGUCGAAACUAUUAGACUAGAGUAUAGUAGGGGUAAAGGGAAUUUCCAGUGGAGCGGUGAAAUGCGUAGAGAUUGGAAAGAACACCGAUGGCGAAGGCACUUUACUGGGCUAUUACUAACACUCAGAGACGAAAGCUAGGGUAGCAAAUGGG
rnacentral:rRNA from 1 species